rnacentral:lncRNA from 1 species
UGCUGAGCAGUGCAAGGCACUGCGCUAAGUGCUUCUGGUGAGCACACGUUAAGCACUCACUGGCUCUGCUCAUGACAUGCUGAAUCACUGUGGUGGGAGCUCAGGUGAGUGCGUGAAUAAUCUCAGAACAAGAGGGGGAUUAAAUGCUUUCAGGGAGGAAAUUGUAAAAUACUAGAGGAGUCCAGAGAAGGGAAGAAUUGUUUCCUGCAAGAGGUGUGGAAAAGGAAAAUCAGAGAAGGCUUCAUGACAGCAGUGGACUUGGCUGGAUCUUGAAGGAAAGUGAGAUUUUGACCAGGGCACUGGGAGCCACGUUUGUGUGGGGAGUGAGGGCUGGGGUUUUAAGUGAGGGGUGUAAAGGUGAAGAGCGAUCAAUGUUAAGUAGGCAGGAAAUUCAAGCAUGAGGGUAGGUAAAAGAGAGAAAUGAGAAGGGUAGAGAAGUAGGUAAUCAGCAGAUUACAAAGGAUUUUGAUCAAGGUCAAGUGUUCACAUUUUAUUUUCUAGACAGAUGGGAACCGAUGAGAACCUCUGAGCAGAGGAGAGGUAUGAUCAGACACAUGCUUCAGAAAGAUGAACAUCGUGGGGGAUAGAUGAAUAGGAAGGAGGAAGGAGGACAAUCUAGACAUGGAAAAACUAAUUAGGAGUCUACUGCAUAUAAAUAAGAGAUUUGUCAGUGAUCCUGUGAAACCUGAACACCCCGGAAGCUGUUGAUUAUGUUGGUUGGAUUUGGGAACAAAGUGUUCAUGUUGAUGAUACAAAUGAGAAGCUGACUGCAUUGCCCCUUGCUCAUUCUUCUGAGCAGCAGACAUAUGGACUGUGUAUGAGGAAUAUAAUUCUGUUUCUUGUGAGACUCCGAAGCACUAUGAAGAACGGCGAAAGAUGACUCUUCUGUAUUUUGUUUAUGUUUUGCCUGAAGAGGAUUUCUCAGUGGGGAUUUUGGUAUUUUUUUCAGGUGAUUCUCAGCUACGAUCUUUUUGCGUUUCACACCUUUAAGGGAUUCCGAAGUUCCUUUAACACCAGCCUGUAAGAUUUCUGGAAAAAACAACAACAACAACAAACAAUUGGUAACAUUGUACAUACACCAACUAUAAUUUUUUGAAAAUUAAGAUUACUAUCAUAAGGACAUUAUGACAAGUGAAGAAAGUAUUUAAGGAAAGUCUAUUUUUUAAAUAAAAUUGCACUUCUGCAUUCCGGAAAUUGAACAAUGAUGCCAAUCAAAAUCUAUUGAAACACUCAUUCAAAGACCUAAGUGUGCAUUUCUAGAAUGCUUAUGUUCCUUUCUUGAAUAAUCAACAUCCUGGAACUAGAUCUUUCAAAACUGAAUUAUCUUUCCCCUUUUCACUAUCAUACUUAAACAGUGCUCCAUGGGGUUAAAGAAACUGGUAACUAACAAGAAGUUUUGAGCUUGUCUUACAGCACUGCAGAUAAAGAAACAGCUUGUUAGAACUCCCUCUGCUUGUAACAAAACUGGUUGACUGGUUGAAGCUGGUUGGAACUGGUAUGGCUGAUUGGGAUCUGCACAGAAUAGACUUCUUGCCAGAUGAGGGACUUUCUGAUAUCAAAGCCAGUAUUUUCACCACAGGUUUCACACCAACUCCCUCCGAAUUUGCAAAGGCAACCCAUGAGGAAGCACGAAGAGACAACUGUGCCUGCUCAAGGGACUUUCCAAACCUCCCCUCCCUUUCCAACAAUCAUUAACCAACCCCAAAACUCCUCCUCCAGCAUCUCCUCCUUUUAUAUACUGCUUUAAGCUGGUAAGGGAAGACAGAAUUGAGCCCAUCUCCUGCAUGGCUGCCUUGCCAUUAAUCUUUCUCUCUAUAAAAAUCCAGUGAUUCAGUGUUUGGCUUUUCAUUGUGUGCAGACAAAUGGACCUAGAUUGGCUUGGUAGCAAUACCUGAGGACUCUGUCUACACAACAGUCUGAGAAGGCUGGCCAAAAAGAAGAAAAUUCAACCCUUUAAUGCUGAGUAUUUGACUGUCUUAUCUCAUUAAGGUUCUUUUAAAACAAACUUUUCAGCAAAUUUCUAAGUAUGCAAAACUGAUAUUUUCAGGAGAAAAGGGGCUGCUAAUAUAAUUUCUAGAGCAGACCAUAGUCAGGACAGCCAUGAAGUAUUGCUGAUGUAGCAAUUAUAUCAAUGAACAGAAAAUUAUGAAACUAAAAUAAUCCACUUAUUUGUGGUUUCUUACCAACAAAAUUAAAAAGUCAUAAGGUUGUAAUGGGCCUUGGUUUAAAAAAAAUCACCACUUUAACUCAACAAAAUAUUCAAUGGCUAUGUUUCUUUGUCAUUAGCAAUAGGUAGGGCAGGUAGGCAGGUAGGGAGAUAGGCAGAAAGAAGGUAAAACUUAUUGCAAGAGAAAUGAAAUCACCUUAAUUUCUAGUUGUGUUGGAAAUAAAUCAGUAUUUAAGUGACAGUGCCCACAAUCUAUCAACUACUGUAUUUUUGAGCAAUAAUUACUUGCCAUGAUUUACUUUGGUUUCCAUUUGUUGGAUUGUUGGGCAUAUGAACAAAAAAUAUUCAAUCGUAUAUUACUCUAUUUGUAGAAAGCCAACUACUUAAUUCUCCACUAUUUUCAAAUAGCUGUUGCAACGUACAUAUUUGAAAUUCAUAUUAGACCAAAAUGUCUACACUGUAAUAACUACUUAUUGAGAAUAAAAUUUACAUUAGAAAUAUUCUAGUAAUAUUGUGACAUCAGUUUAUAUGCUCUCAUAUCAUAGUUUAAUGAAAAAAAUGCAUACUAUUCCAUUAAAGAUAUAUUUACCCACCAUAAUAAAAAAAAAAACAAAAGGGGGUCUCAUAACUAAAAUAUUUGAGCUAAAGAACAAUAGAAAAAAGUAUCAGUAUUAUUCACUUUUACAAAAUGUUGAACAAACAUUUUUUUAUUCUCCAAUCCACUCACUCAUGAAAUGAUGUUUUCCCACUGGUUUUCCCUUAUUAAGAUGAAUGUAAGAAAGUCAGUGAUGCACUUUUUGACUCUCAUUAACUCUAUCAGGCAAGUAGGCAAAGUGAAAAAUGAUGCUCAUCAACCUGGGCUGAGUAGUCUCUCUAUCCACUUCCAAAAGCUAGAUGUGGGUAUCAUAAAGGUGAAAGCCAGGAGGCUAUUAAAAUAAAUACAAAAACAGAGAUGAGAAACCACUUGGAUGAGAAGCUAGCAGAGCUGAAACACCAUGGACUUAAAAAUAAUCUACCCAUGUCAGGCCCCAUCCAGGACCUAUUCAACCAGAGUCUUGGACAGGGUAGGUAUGCCUGUUUUGCUCUGCUUCACAAACAUUUUAAGAUAAACUUUUAUUUUUAGAUAAAGUUAUGUUAUUCAAAAUUAAAUAAUGUCUUAUACUCCAAAGAAAAAUGCAAAAUUUCAACCCAGAAAUACUGUAUGUGAUUUAAACAACAACAACAAAAACUGUAACCUUGUACUUAAAAGAAAAUGACAUUGAAGUUAAGAUAAAGGAAUUGCUAAACUUAAGAUCCAUAUUUCUUUAUAAGAGAAACUAUUUUCUAUAAAUCUACUGGGAGUUAAGAAUUGGAAAAACACAUAUGUUAAAUGGAACUUUUGAACUACACGUUUUGAUUUUACAUAUAGAUGACCUCCUCUCUCAUUUGUCAAAGCUUAUAACACUUACAUUUUAUCUGUAUCGUUGUUUAUACUUAGUUAUCUAUUUAAUUUUAACACUUGACUGGUGCUAUUCCCUUCAAAACUUUGCAUACUCCCUUGUUUUCUGGCAAUUUGGUUUACACCU